GUCGUAACAAGGUUUCCGUAGGUGAACCUGCGGAAGGAUCAUUCGCGCGCAUCCACACGCUUUGAACUGAAACUUGAAUGUGAGGUUCUGGGUGAGGUGGGGGUCGCAGAUCUGAAUCUCUCGUGCGGAAUUUCAAGGGCAGCAAAUUGGGGUAGCGUAGUCCUGCUGCUUUGAUCCUGCUGCCGUUCAUGCGUAUGCAGUUGUGUGUGUAGUGCCUGUGCAUUUUUGAGUUGAAGCCACCACAACUUUCAGCGAUGGAUGUCUCGGCUUGGACAACGAUGAAGGGCGCAGCGAAGUGUGAUAAGCAUUGUGAAUUGCAGAAUUCCGUGAACCAAUAGGGAUUUGAACGUAUACUGCGCUUUCGGGAUAUCCCUGAAAGCAUGCCUGCUUCAGUGUCUAUUGAUAUUCAUGCCACCAAUAUCAUCCAAGUCAUUUGGAUAUUUUGUGUGUGCGUAUCUGUGUGUCAAAGCGCUUCGUGCCUUUGAUGCAUUUAGUGUACAGGUGCUGUUAUCAACAAGCAAUUUGAAUAACACAUCGUGUUAUUUAUUGCUUUGGUGAUGAUGGUACACCUGCUCCAUAUCUCAUGUUUGAGAUUUCAUUCAAGACAUGAAGUUAGGUAAGCAAACCCGCUGAAUUUAAGCAUAUAAGUAAGCGGAGGAUAAGAAACUAAAUAGGAUUCCCUCAGUAAUGGCGAAUGAACAGGGAUGAGCUCAGUUUGGAAAUUGGGGCCCUUUGGGCCUUGAAUUGUAGUCUGGUGGGGGUUUCCCAACCAUGGCCGAGAUGUAACGCGUUGGAAAACGCAACCAUGGAGGGUGAGAGUCCCGUUUUUCAUCUCUAGUCCAUGGUGUACGGGUGCCUUUCAAAGAGUCGCGUUCCUCGGGACUGGAGCGUAAAUUGGGUGGUAAAUUUCAUCUAAAGCUAAAUAUUGGUUCGAGACCGAUAGCAAACAAGUACCAUGAGGAAAGGUGAAAAGGACUUUGAAAAGAGAGUUAAAAGUGCCUGAAAUUGCUGAAAGGGAAGCGAAUGGAACCAGUGUAUCUUGGUGAAAUUGUUGGUCGCUAUGGUAAUGGCUUGCUGUUUCACCGCAAGGGUUGCAGUGGGUUCUGAUCCUGACGUGAUUGAUGUUUUUCGCCUUGUGUGUCAACGUCGGUUCAGAUCUGAGGAUAACUCUGGGCAAAUGGAUAGUUGGAUGCUCUGACUGAAUGUGCCUGGUAGAACUCAGUUCUGAACUGAUUUCAAUAUGUCUGGUCGCAGUGCUCCGAUCAUGUGCUGCUGUUCCUUGUGAACUUCAGUGCUGUCUUUGGGGUACACUUCAGACAUAAAUACGAUGACUAAAUGGUUUUAUUCGACCCGUCUUGAAACACGGACCAAGGAGUCUAACAUAUGUGCGAGUUCACGGGUGUUAAACCUGCUUGCGCAAUGAAAGUGACUGCUGGGAUAUUUGCACCAGCAACCGACCAAUCGAUUGUGAGAGGUUUGAGUAUGAGCAUAUCUGUUAGGACCCGAAAGAUGGUGAACUAUGCGUGAA
rnacentral:rRNA from 1 species